rnacentral:rRNA from 1 species
AACGAACGCUGGCGGCAGGCCUAACACAUGCAAGUCGAGCGAGGACUUCGGUUCUAGCGGCGGACGGGUGAGUAACGCGUGGGAAUGUGCCCUUCUCUACGGAAUAUCCCUGGUAAACUGGGAGUAAUACCGUAUACGCCCUAUUGGGGAAAGAUUUAUCGGAGAAGGAUCAGCCCGCGUUGGAUUAGGUAGUUGGUGGGGUAAUGGCCUACCAAGCCGUCGAUCCAUAGCUGGUUUGAGAGGAUGAUCAGCCACACUGGGACUGGGACACGGCCCAGACUACUAGGGGAGGCAGCAGUGGGGAAUCUUAGAAAAUGGGGGCAACGAUGAUCGAGCCAUGCCGCGUGAGUGAUGAAGGCCUUAGGGAAGUAAAGCUCGUUCAGAUGGGAAGAUAAUGACGGUACCAGAAGAAGAAGCACCGGCUAACUCCGUG